AAAGGUUGAGCAGAAAUGGCUUCCAACACCCAACUCUUCUUCCGGUGUGGUUUCUUUUCUGUCUUUGAGGGGCUUCAGAGCUCUGGGCCUUCAAAAGAGAAGUGAAACACAAACCAGAGAUAAAGUACUUCAAAUUACACAAGUGUUACCAGGAAGAAAGCUCAGAAUGGAAGAAUAAAAUCUAGUGGUGCCCUGCGUUAGAUAAAAGAUUGUGAAUUCAGAGUUCUGGAAACACCAUUAUUGUUCCAGAAAACAUACAGGACCUGUGGCAACCCUGGGCCUGGACACACCUGCCAGCACCUACUUCAAAGACUGUGUGGAAAGAGGAGCUACAAACAUCCCACUCUGCUGUUUGUUAGACACAC